CCUCCUGGGUUCAAGUGAUUAUCCUGCUUCGGCCUCCGAGUAACUGGGGUUAUAGGCGUGGGCCAUCACAUCUAGCUAGUAACUUCAACAGCAUGGCUGAGGAUACCAGAGGAGCCAUGAAAUGAGAGUGACCAUCUUACUGGUUGAAUUCACAUGCAGGAAGCAACAGAGGCUGUGAGGUGGCACCGAUGUUGCUGGUGCAUGAGUACACUUCAGCGGCAAGCACGAAA